rnacentral:rRNA from 1 species
AGUGAACGCUGGCGGUAGGCCUAACACAUGCAAGUCGAACGGCAGCACAGUAAGAGCUUGCUCUUACGGGUGGCGAGUGGCGGACGGGUGAGGAAUACAUCGGAAUCUACUUUUUCGUGGGGGAUAACGUAGGGAAACUUACGCUAAUACCGCAUACGACCUACGGGUGAAAGCAGGGGAUCUUCGGACCUUGCGCGAUUGAAUGAGCCGAGGUCGGAUUAGCUAGUUGGCGGGGUAAAGGCCCACCAAGGCGAUGAUCCGUAGCUGGUCUGAGAGGAUGAUCAGCCACACUGGAACUGAGACACGGUCCAGACUCCUACGGGAGGCAGCAGUGGGGAAUAUUGGACAAAGGGCGCAAGCCUGAUCCAGCCAUACCGCGUGGGUGAAGAAGGCCUUCGGGUUGUAAAGCCCUUUUGUUGGGAAAGAAAAGCAGCAGGUUAAUACCCCGCUGUUCUGACGGUACCCAAAGAAUAAGCACCGGCUAACUUCGUG